rnacentral:rRNA from 1 species
GACGAACGCUGGCGGCGUGCCUAAUACAUGCAAGUCGAGCGGAUCUUCUCCUUCGGGGGAAGGUUAGCGGCGGACGGGUGAGUAACACGUAGGCAACCUGCCUGAAGGAUCGGGAUAACUACCGGAAACGGUAGCUAAGACCGGAUAGCUGGCUCUGGUGCAUGCCGGAGUCAUGAAACACGGAGCAAUCUGUGGCCUUUGGAUGGGCCUGCGGUGCAUUAGCUAGUUGGUGGGGUAACGGCUCACCAAGGCGACGAUGCAUAGCCGACCUGAGAGGGUGAUCGGCCACACUGGGACUGAGACACGGCCCAGACUCCUACGGGAGGCAGCAGUAGGGAAUCUUCCGCAAUGGACGCAAGGCUGACGGAGCAACGCCGCGUGAGUGAUGAAGGUUCUCGGAUCGUAAAGCUCUGUUGCCAGGGAAGAAUGUCGCGGGGAGUAACUGCCCUGCGAAUGACGGUACCUGAGAAGAAAGCCCCGGCUAACUACGUGCCAGCAGCCGCCGUAAGAC